UUCCACCUGUCUGAAGAAGGGGAGCAGGUUUCUGAGUACUCCGGGGCGCGGUACCUCCCCCUAAACGCGAAUGAAACUUUUGGGAAAUGCCCCUCCCCCAGCCCCUUGUCCGGGGCAACUUCCUUGUCUCUUCUCCCCCACCGGUGUUGGGGAGUUCCUUGUCUCCACUCCCAACCACAGAGCCACAAGUACAUUAUCUAUGCCCAGGCGAGUCCCUAUGCCCAGGCUAGGAGAGCCGCACUUCUUCCUACAGCUGACACGUUUGGUUUUUGGAGGGGAAAGGGGAGCUGUAGCUGAAUCAGUAAUGGAAAUUGAUGAACCUGUGAUGUGACUCCUGGGAGUAGUUUGCAAUCACCAUUGGCCCAAAAGGAGCCAUCUACGUGCUCAGUGGGGUCUAGUAAAGGAUAAUAUUAAUUCUU
rnacentral:antisense_RNA from 1 species